GCCUUCACGGUGUAAUGGUCAGCGCACUCGGCCCGUAUUCGAGAGGUCCCAGGUUCAAGUCCCGGCGAAGGGA
rnacentral:tRNA from 1 species